rnacentral:rRNA from 3 species
CAACUCUUAGCGGUGGA